rnacentral:rRNA from 1 species
GACGAACGCUGGCGGCGUGCUUAACACAUGCAAGUCGAACGGAAAGGCCCUGCUUUUGUGGGGUGCUCGAGUGGCGAACGGGUGAGUAACACGUGAGUAACCUGCCCUUGACGUUGGGAUAACUUCAGGAAACUGGGGCUAAUACCGGAUAGGAGCUCCUGCUGCAUGGUGGGGGUUGGAAAGUUUCGGCGGUUGGGGAUGGACUCGCGGCUUAUCAGCUUGUUGGUGGGGUAGUGGCUUACCAAGGCUUUGACGGGUAGCCGGCCUGAGAGGGUGACCGGCGACAUUGGGACUGAGAUACGGCCCAGACUGCUACGGGAGGCAGCAGUGGGGAAUAUUGCACAGUGGGCGGAAGCCUGAUGCAGCAACGCCGCGUGCGGGAUGACGGCCUUCGGGUUGUAAACCGCUUUCGCCUGUGACGAAGCGUGAGUGACGGUAAUGGGUAAAGAAGCACCGGCUAACUACGUG